GCACACGCCAUCUUCAUAACUUCAAGUUCAGUGGUGAGUUUCAAAUUUGAUGUGAGAAACGCAUCUAUACAGUUCUUAUAUCCGUGAUUUACAGCUCCAAUUUUAUUCAACGUGUAACGUAUAAGUUGGUAGACCAAUAGAAUUUAUAUGAACAAAUACUAUUUGAUUUCGGGGAAGGCAUAUUGCAAGGUGUAGUCAAGUUUGCUGAUUUUACAAUUGAAAAUAAUUUUAGAAAUACAGGCUAGAAUGCAAAAGGCUGUAGAUAAUACAAAGCCUUCCUUAAGAAUACAAAGAUUUUAUAGGGAAAAACAAGUGUGCGUUGAAAAAAAUCAUUUAUAAAGACGAAAGAUUUACAAAUUAUAACAUGAUACAUCAGGAAAAUUACUUCCGAAUAAAUUGACUAUACAUAAUUUGACUGAUGAUUGGCUAAAAGCUAUUCAGGUGAUUUGGAAAACUACCCACUUAAAUGCAGAAAACAAUUGUGAUAUAAAUAAAUCAAUGUCGGAUUGUUUUCAAGAAAGAGAAGAACUUUGAUUGCGUUAUCAAGUAGCUGUAAUUAGAAAUGCUAUAAACGAACUUGGAUGUAAAAAAUUACCUUCUGGAUAUGACCUUUCAAUGGAGGAUUCAUUUACUGAGCCAACAAAAACAAAAUCAAAAUUUACAAGAGGACAACAUUUCUAACAUUUCUAAUAGUUUCUUUGGCUUCAACCCAUAAACUUCUGUCUGAUAAACAAGCAUAAUGCCAUUGCUGAAUCAAAUCGUCUAAAGUAAUAAGAAUAGACAUCUGUGAAAAUAACAAAUUUCUUAACGAUGCCCUUAGUGACCUCAGAGGAGCGUUGAUUAUGUUUAACUGAGCUGGCCACAUACUGCGAUAUAAAUCACAUCGCGAUAAACUCCAUCGAUUUGUAAAUGUAUUGUUGGUUAUUGGGUUGUCGUCUUCUAUUGUUCCAAGAAAUCUGCACUUGUAACCUCCA